rnacentral:lncRNA from 1 species
AGAAACAAUGCCAUGGUUCAACGCAGAGCGUUACCCAACUUAACAAGUCAUUAAAGUAUGGAUAUUCGUAAAUUUCCAAUAAGAAUCCAGGAAGAUACCUAUGGAGGAAGAAGAGCUAUGUACGCUACUUGGGUUUGGUACAGUGGGGAGUGUGAAUUAAGAGUAAGAUUUAGAAUGUUCACGUUCAUCUUAUAUAUUAUCCGGUCAUUGCACGGUAAAUAGGCCUUCAAAUUUCACUCCCCUUGAAGCGUAAAAGACGU